CCUACGGGGUGCAGCAGUGAGGAAUAUUGGUCAAUGGACGAGAGUCUGAACCAGCCAAGUAGCGUGAAGGAUGACUGCCCUAUGGGUUGUAAACUUCUUUUAUAUGGGAAUAAAAUGUUCCACGUGUGGGAUUUUGUAUGUACCAUAUGAAUAAGGAUCGGCUAACUCCGUGCCAGCAGCCGCGGUAAUACGGAGGAUCCGAGCAUUAUCCGGAUUUAUUGGGUUUAAAGGGAGCGUAGGUGGAUUGUUAAGUCAGUUGUGAAAGUUUGCGGCUCAACCGUAAAAUUGCAGUUGAAACUGGCAGUCUUGAGUACAGUAGAGGUGGGCGGAAUUCGUGGUGUAGCGGUGAAAUGCUUAGAUAUCACGAAGAACUCCGAUUGCGAAGGCAGUUCACUGGACUGCAACUGACACUGAGGCUCGAAAGUGUGGGUAUCAAACAGGAUUAGAUACCCUUGUAGUC
rnacentral:rRNA from 1 species